CGACGCGACGCCAUCCCUCUCUCAAUCGCAGCUGAAGCUCACAGCUCCGUUAUUAGGAGACAGGAGAAGUAAAGGAGUGACAGUACGGAAUUCACGGUGCUCACUGUCCGUGUUGCACAUGUGAAUAGUCGGAAAGCUAUUCGUGACGGUCACUGUCCAUGUUGCAGCUGGGAAUAGUCGGAAAGG